rnacentral:rRNA from 1 species
GUCUCAAAUCAGGUAGGAUCACCCGCUGAACUUAAGCAUAUCAAUAAGCGGAGGAAAAGAAACUAACAAGGAUUCCCCUAGUAACGGCGAGCGAAGCGGGAAGAGCUCAAAUUUGAAAGCUGGCGUCUUCGGCGUCCGCGUUGUAAUCUCGAGACGUGUUUUCCGUGCGGCUCUAUGGACAAGUCCCUUGGAACAGGGCAUCGUAGAGGGUGAAAAUCCCGUACUUGCCAUGGAAGUACCGUGCUUUGUGAUACACGCUCCAAGAGUCGAGUAGUUUGGGAUUGCUGCUCAAAGUGGGUGGUAGACUCCAUCUAAAGCUAAAUAUCGGGGAGAGACCGAUAGCGAACAAGUACCGUGAGGGAAAGAUGAAAAGCACUUUGGAAAGAGAGUUAAAAGUACGUGAAAUUGUCGAAAGGGAAGCACUUGAAGUCAGCCAUGCUGCUUGAGACUCAGCCUGGCUUUUGCUUGGUGUAUUUCUCGGUAGCAAGCCAGCAUUGGUUUGUGUCGUCGGAGAAGCGUAUGGGGAAUGUGGCAUCCUCGGAUGUGUUAUAGCCCUGUGCAGGAUACGACGACGUAGACCAAGGAACGCAGUGUGCCCUCUGGGCGGGUCUUCGGACACCUUCACACUUAGGAUGCUGGCGUAAUGGCUUUAAGUGGCCCGUCUUGUAACACGGACCAAGGAGUCUAACACGUGCGCGAGUCGGGGGCUCGCACGAAAGCCGCCGUGGCGCAAUGAAGGUGAAGGCCGGCGCGCUCGCCGGCCGAGGUGGGAUCCCGAGGCCUCUCCAGUCCGCCGAGGGCGCACCACCGGCCCGUCUCGCCCGCCGCGCCGGGGAGGUGGAGCACGAGCGCACGUGUUAGGACCCGAAAGAUGGUGAACUAUGCCUGGGCGGGGCGAAGCCAGAGGAAACUCUGGUGGAGGUCCGUAGCGGUCCUGACGUGCAAAUCGGUCGUCCGACCUGGGUAUAGGGGCGAAAGACUAAUCGAACCAUCUAG